rnacentral:rRNA from 2 species
UUAUUUUGCAGUCGAGCGGACCUCUUCGGAGGUCAGCGGCGGACGGGUGAGUAACACGUGGGCAACCUGCCUGUAAGACUGGGAUAACUCCGGGAAACCGGAGCUAAUACCGGAUACUAUGUCAAACCGCAUGGUUUGACAUUCAAAGACGGUUUCGGCUGUCACUUACAGAUGGGCCCGCGGCGCAUUAGCUAGUUGGUGAGGUAAUGGCUCACCAAGGCGACGAUGCGUAGCCGACCUGAGAGGGUGAUCGGCCACACUGGGACUGAGACACGGCCCAGACUCCUACGGGAGGCAGCAGUAGGGAAUCUUCCGCAAUGGACGAAAGUCUGACGGAGCAACGCCGCGUGAGUGAUGAAGGUUUUCGGAUCGUAAAACUCUGUUGUCAGGGAAGAACAAGUGCCGGAGUAACUGCCGGCGCCUUGACGGUACCUGACCAGAAAGCCACGGCUAACUACGUGCCAGCAGCCGCGGUAAUACGUAGGUGGCAAGCGUUGUCCGGAAUUAUUGGGCGUAAAGCGCGCGCAGGCGGUUUCUUAAGUCUGAUGUGAAAGCCCCCGGCUCAACCGGGGAGGGUCAUUGGAAACUGGGAAACUUGAGUGCAGAAGAGGAGAGUGGAAUUCCACGUGUAGCGGUGAAAUGCGUAGAGAUGUGGAGGAACACCAGUGGCGAAGGCGACUCUCUGGUCUGUAACUGACGCUGAGGCGCGAAAGCGUGGGGAGCGAACAGGAUUAGAUACCCUGGUAGUCCACGCCGUAAACGAUGAGUGCUAAGUGUUAGAGGGUUUCCGCCCUUUAGUGCUGCAGCUAACGCAUUAAGCACUCCGCCUGGGGAGUACGGUCGCAAGACUGAAACUCAAAGGAAUUGACGGGGGCCCGCACAAGCGGUGGAGCAUGUGGUUUAAUUCGAAGCAACGCGAAGAACCUUACCAGGUCUUGACAUCCUUUGCCACUUCUAGAGAUAGGAAGUUCCCCUUCGGGGGACAAAGUGACAGGUGGUGCAUGGUGUCGUCAGCUCGUGUCGUGAGAUGUUGGUUAAGUCCGCAACGAGCGCCAACCCUGAUCUUAGUGCAGCAUCAGUGGCACUCUAAGUUGACUGCGUGACAACGGAGAAGGUGGGAUGACGUCAAAUCAUCAUGCCUUAUGACUGGUCUACACGCUACAUGAAUGGUACAAAGGCCUGCCAGAACCGCCGAAGGUUUGUAGC